CAAAUUGAGAUAAUUAAUUAGUUGGGGGUGUACAACAUACAACUCCAACAUUAGCAAGUAGUUAAUAGAUUUUCCUUUGUACAUUCUGGAAUGAUUCAAAAUUGUAUUCACUGAUAGGGAGAAAUUACAAUGUAGCAAUUCUCAACUUAGGGAAAACAAGGCAAAAGAUAGGUAAAAAAAGAAAAUAGAAAGGAGAGAUUCCAAAUUGCUAAAAGUUUAGCUAAGAAAAUAAGAUACAAGUUCUUCCAUUCCCUCCUCUAAAGCUCUUGUGAUGUUUAUAUAGCAGGGUAUUCAUUUGGAUGUUUCUUGGUAAGCUAGUGCAAUAUGUGCAGCAGUAUUUGACAAAGGUAGUGGUCCUCUGUUGGCCUUUGGGACCACAUACUCAGUUGGGUAUUUUGGGGACUGUUUGUCCCUACUGCUGCUCCUCAGUGUACUCGAGUGGUCCUGCGGGUUUUUUACAUUUCCACCCCCAUGAAGACAAACCUUGUCCUCAAGGUUCAAGUCUGGAAACUGAUGAGUCAGUGUAGGAAGGUCUUCCCAAGUGGCCUUAGAAAGAGGCAACCCUUUCCAUUUGAUAGUUAUUUGAUUCCCUUCCUUUGUGACAAUACGAUGCUCCAAAAUGUCCUCAGGUGUGAGCCACAGAGAUGAGUUUUGGCCGAUAAGAUCAAUGGGAGUUACCUGUUAAUCAGGGUUCCCUCAAAACUUUCACAGAACCAAAACAUGAAAGACAGGGUGUAUUUUUGAGGAAGAUGGGAGAUCCAGUUUGUAGGCAACCUCACCCACACGAUGGAGCACCUUAAAUGGACCAAAGAAUCUUUGACUAAGUUUUGUAUGGCGCUAAAGGCGAAUAGAGAUAUGCCCGUAGGGACGUAAUCGAACAUAUACCCAAUCUCCAAUCUCAAAGAUUACAUCUUUGCAUCCUUUGUCAGUAUUCCACUUCAUACAUUCUUGGGUAGCCUGCAAGUUGGACUUCAAGAGGGACAACGUUUCAUCUCGGUGAAAAAGACUCUAUCACAUCUGGAUUGGAAGUGUCAUUCCUGAUGUAUCAAGUUACUAUUGGGGGAGGCCGACCAUAAACAAUUUCAAAAGGGGUAAGCUUAGAGCUAUGUUGGUAUGAAGUAUUGUACCAAAAUUCAGCCCACGGGAGUAGGAGAAACCAGGUAGCAGGGAUAUCCACAGCAAAACAUUGAAGAUACAUCUCAAGACACUUGUUAAGAGCCUCUGUUUGUCCAUCUAAUUAUGGGUGAUAAGCAAAACUCUUGGCUAAUUUAGUCCCUUGAAGUCUAUUGAUCUUAGCCCAAAAAUCAGACAAGAAAAUAGGAUCGUGGUCUGAAACAAUUGAGGAAGGAAAUCCAUGUAGUUGAAUAUAUUCUUGGACAAACACUUUCGCGAUCUUGUGACUAGUGAAUUUUAGGGGAAAGGCGAUAAAAUGGCCAUAUUUUGACAACCUAUCCAUAAUUACCAGAAUGACUGUACGACCUUGUGAAGGUGGGAGGCCAGUGAUGAAAUCCAUAGAAAUAUCCUCAAAAAUUAAAGCAGGUAUAGGAAGUGGAAGAAGAAGUCCAGCAGGUUUCAAAUGUGUAUCCUUCAUUUGCUGGCAGACUUGGCACUGCAGGACGAACUGCUUGACAUCCUUGCGCAUACCCGGCCAAAAGAAAUUGGAUGAAAGGCAGUGAAAAUAUCACGUAAUACCAGCAUGACCUCUAAUUUUAGAAGAAUGAAAUUUUUCUAAGAGCAAACAUUUUAGUCCCGGGUCCGGGGGAAUAAUCAGACGCUUACGAAAAAGAAGCAGACCUUCUUGGAAGGUGAAGUGAGGCAUGGACUCAGGAUCAUCGUGCAACUGAUGCUGGAGUUGAAGUAAAUAAGUAUCAGUUUUGUUUAAAUGCUUGAGUUUGUCAACCAAAGCCAUUCUGUGAUAGCCACAGUGAGAGCCAUUAAGGCUGGUUUCCUGGAUAAGGCAUCAACAGCUGAAUUCAAUUUCCCUGGCCAAUAGACAAUCUCAAAGUCAUAACCAAUUAACUUACAUAGCCAUUGUUGUUGUUCUGGUGCUUGAAUCACUUGACUCGUAAGAUAUUUCAGCGGCUGUUGGUCAGUGAUGAUGAUGAAUUUGCAACCCAAAAGGUAUUGAUGCCACUUUUGGACAGCUUGGGUAAUAGAAAACGUUUCCCUCAUGUAAGUGGAAGCUGCUUGGAUCUUGGGAAAUAAUUUUUGACUAAAAAAGCAAUGGGGUGCCCUUUUUGAGAUAACACUGCUCCAAUUCUACUACCAGAGGCAUCAGUUUCCACAGAGAACACUUUUGAGAAAUCUGGCAAUGCAAGAACUGGAACAGAACUAAGGGCUCAUUUGAGGUCAAAAAACAUUAUGGAUGCGCUAUCAGACCACAAAAAGGAAUCCUUUUUUAUAAGGUUUGUGAGUGGGGAAACAAGUUGGGCAUAUCCCUUUACAAAUCGCCGAUAAUAACUCGUCAAGCCUAAAACCCACGAACUUCUUUAACAGAGAAAGGUAGUGGCCAUGAUGCAAUAGACCGAAUUUUAUCGAGGUCAACUUGCAAGCUGCUGAAAGAAAUAAUAUGACCAAGUAUGUAAUAGAAGUCUGUCAAAAUUGGCAUUUAGACUGUUUAACCACCAAAAAAUUCCUCUUGAGCAACUCAAAAAUAUUCUGCAAGUAAGAAAGAUGAUCCUGCUAGGACUGACUGUAAACUAAUAUGUCAUCAAAGAAGACAAGGACAAAUCGGUGAAUGAAGGUCUUGAAUAUGAAGUUCAUUGUAGCUUGAAAGAUGGAUGGGGCAUUUGAAAGGCCGAAGGGAAUGACAAAGAACUCAAAAUGACCAUCAUGAGUUUGGAAGGCUGUCUUUUCUAUAUCAUCCUGAUGGACACAGAUUUGAUGGUAUCUAGCUAAUAAGUUUAACUUGGAGGAGAAACAGGCAUUAUGGAGUUCACCAAAUAAUUCAUCAACCAUGGGAAUAGGAAAAUGAUCUUUAACUGCAAUGGAGUUCAAUGCCCUAUAGUCGAUGCAAAAGUGCCAUGUGCUAUAUUUUUUUCUCACAAAAAGAACAGGUGAGAAAUAAGGGCUAGAGCUGUGUCGAAUCACACCUGAGUGAAGCAUCUCGGAGACCAUGCGUUCAAUCUCGCCCUUCUAAAAAUGUGGAUACCUAUAAGGCCAUACAUUAAUCGGAGAGCCAGGAAGCAGCGGGAUACGAUGAUCUUGUGGUCUCAAUAGUGGCAGGAAAUUUAGGGCCAAAAAUACCUCAUUAUAGGAUGAUAAUAUGACUUGAAGAUCAGGAGGAUGGUCUUGUUCAAUAGAUGUGUCCGGAGAGAGUAGCUCGAGCCGGUACAUAUAAGCAAUGGAGUCCGUCACAGCGAAGCGAUAAAGAGUUGAAGGUUAAACCUGCUCUAGUGAGAUUGGAGGAUUUUCGAACCAAGUAAUACGUUUUCUAUUACUCUCGAACUCAAAUAGGAGUUUGGAAUAAUCUAAAAUAGUCCAACCAAGAGUUGCGAUCUAUGCCACACCCAAUACCACAUCUGCACCAUUAGAAUCUAGAAUAAAAAAAGUUGUACAAAAGAAAUGUCCCUGAAUAGUGACCAAAAGAUUACGAAUCACGCCCAAACAAGGAAACCGAUUACCAUUACCCACAACAACAGAGAAUUCAGGUGAGAACUCAAAAGUAAGUUUGAGAGCCUUAGCAACACGAGGAUGUAUAAAGUUAUCAGUGCUACCCCCAUCAAGUAGAAUUUGAGCCAGCAGGCCUUUAAUAUGACCUGUAAAACGGAGAGCAGUAGGAUAAGAACUACCUGUAAGGGCUUCGGAACUGAUGGCAAGGAAGGACGGUUCCUCAGUGGGGGUGGUGAAAUUGGAUUCCAAGGGAGGUGAUUCAAUAUCGGCGGGGGAGGUACCUCCACUGGAUCCUCUUCAGUGACGACCAGCAAAAGUUGUAGAGAUAUAGAACAUCGAUGGCCCUUUUGAUAUUUUUCAUCACAGUUGAAGCACAAAUUGAGAUCUCAUUUGUGUUGUAAUUCCACUGGAGAAAGUUUCUUGAAUGGAACACUGCUAUUACCAGGAAGUGAAGCUGCCUGAGCGGAGGAAGAAGAGGGUGAAAAGGAUGGGAUUGAUUUGUGUUGCGAUGAUUGGGAAGUUGGAUAAGAGAGGGAAAUAUUUUUAGUGAUAGAAGUGGGCCGGGUUGGUGUUUUAACUUAGGCCAAUAAUUUUUUCUCCUGCAACAUGGCCAAACUAAUAGCCUCGUGAAUAUAUUUGGGCCUAAAUGAUAAAACAUCACUUUUAAUCUCAGUAGGUAGCCCAGAAAUAAAAAGAUUCUACAAGAUCUCUGGAGAAGCAUCAGUAGUGCGAUUAGCAAGCUGCUCAAAUCGAGAAAUACUCAGCAACAGUCGAAGUCAUCUGCAAUUUCCCCAAAAGCCCCUCUAGUGCUUCCAUGGAUUUAUAACCAAAAUGAGUUACCAAUCUCUAGCCAUGCCCUCAAUCUAGAAGGAGACAAGGUUCAAACGAUAUUCAUCAUGGACAUUAUAAGCAUCAAAGUAUUGGUUGGCUUGGAAAAUCUAACUUUCAGCAAACCGGCCAUCAACACGGGCUAAAUCUAUGGGUGCUGGUUUAUCUCUCCGAAAAGGGCCACAAGGUUCUGAUUUACAAAAAGGGCUUGUGGCUGGUGUGGUGGAUUCAACUGCGGAGAUGAGGGAGAAAGAUGUUGAUAGAAGAAAUUUUGUGGUGGUGGUAUGGAAGAAAAACUGGGGUUAGAGGUUGUUGGGCUUUUUGUAGAGGGUUGGGUGUGCUGAUUCUGGGUCUGGAGGGUGGAAAUUUUGGAGAUAAUCUCUUGAAGUGUGGAGUUAAUGGAAUCAAAAGUUUUGCUGUGAGAAUCAACAGUUUCUUGCAGCUUCUUGAAGGCCUCGUCCAUUGUGCGCAAAUGUGUGUUAGGAGCACCAUCACCCAUUGGUAGAGGAGGUUCAAUGAAAGUACCAAAUGGAAUGAUUCAAAAUUGUAUUCACUGAUAGGGAGAAAUUUUAACGUAGCAAUUCUCAACUUAGGGAAAACAAGGCGAAAGAUAGAUAAAAAAGAGAAAAUAGAAAAGAGAGAUUCCAGAUUGCUUAAAGUUUAGCUAAGAAAAUAAGAUGCAAGUUCUUCCAUGCCCUCCUCUACAGUUCUUGUGAUGUUUAUAUAGAAGGGUAUUCAUUUGGAUGUUUUUUGGCAGGCUGGUGCAAUAUGUGCAGUAGUAUUUGACAGAGGUAGUGGUCCUCUGUUGGCCUUUGGGACCACAUACUCAACCAGGUAUUUUGGGGACUUUUUGUCCCUACUGCUGCGCCUCAGUGUACUCGAGUGGUCCUGCGAGUUUGUUACACAUUCUGGUAAGUACAUGUACACUUCAGUAUCCACUUCAUCAAUGAUGUAAAUUUCCAAACGAAAAAAGAAAUGCGGCAAUUUUCAGUCUUCGUGAUUUCUUUGAGCAAAUGUUCCGUUCCUUAUUUCUUUCUUUCCAGGCUUCAAUGGAUUUAAACAGAAUAAGAGCUCAGUUAUUGAAGUUUGAUCUGCUAGCGUUUUUAUGCUAUCCCUUCACCAAAACAACUUUCAAUAUUUUCAUUCAUUCAUGUGCACCUGAAAGUAUUUCAUAUGUUAUAAUUGAAAGGAUAGUAGCUAGUUGAUCACCUAACAAUGAAACUACAGUUUAGCUGUUCAACAGAACUUCUUUAUUUACUUUAAUAAACACUAAGAAUGCAACAUUUGAAUUCCAAAUCGACCACAUUGUACAAGUUUGUUAGUAGAAUGAGUUUUCAUUCACUAACAGAGUUUUGUACACUUAUUCUACACUUUGCUAGCCGAACUCGCCAUCACUUCGUGAAGGAGUUAAUUUCUCACACAGUCACUCGACUAACAUUUUUAUUUCAGAAAGUCGCUAAAUUUUACUGUCACACAAAAGUCACUGAAUAAAUGGAAAUUAUCUCAGAAAGUCACUCUAUCGAAUUUUGUUCCUUCACCAAGACAAAUGGUUUGUUCACAGCUCCUUCUCCUUCUUCUUUUUCAUCAUUUUCCAUUUAAUAGUUUCACUAUACUCUAACCAAUUUAAGAAUCAUUUACUUAACCUAUUCUAAAGUCAAGGAGAAUAUCAGAAUGGCCUACUUUUAUGUCUAUUCUGUACGUAACUUGCUUAGCAAAUACAAGGAUUUGCAUAUGCAUAUACUUUCUAAUCCUUUUUAAUGCCAUCUUCCAGUUCCAGCAGAUCAGUCUAAUAUUUCAUUUUAUCAGUUUCUCCAUCUUCAGAAAAGUUUUGACUGUUAAUAUUAUCCCUUCAGGUUUUCUUGUAAACCUCUGCUUUAUCUUCUUCUGACCCCAUUUGUCUUUAAAAAAAUUACCUGUCAAAUUUGUGUUUAUGAGUGCAGUAAUAGUUGAAGGGGAACCUUGGCGUAACUGGUGAAAUUAUUGUCGUGUGAGUAGAAGGUCACGAGUAAGGCUGUC
rnacentral:lncRNA from 1 species